UGUUAAUCAUUUGAGCAAGGCCAUCGGAGACGCCCUCCCCUCUGCCAAUCUCCGUGAUGCUCUGACCUCAACUUCUCCCUCAGUUCCUACAAUCUUAUUUAGUUAACGGGUAAUCACGCUUUCUUUGAUCAGCGGAAGAGGUCUGCAAUCGCCCACCCCCAUUGGUUCCAUACCGUUAAAUCCGGACAAUGUCCAUCUCGGCGCGCCGGCCUUUUUCAUUCCCCGAAGCAUAUACUACGUACGUCCUCCAGACCGCACAUCUUGGCACCAACACCAACAGCUCGCUCUGCCUCGAUCUAUCCAUAGUGUCCAUACCUACUACGCAUGUAGUGAGCAAUGUCAAAGCGUCGAGGAUCUGGUCGUUCCUUUUGCUAUCAUAUUAUGCAGUGCGGUGCAGUGCACCAUACUGAUUGACAACGAUGGCCGUUAUAGAUAGAGUAAGCCCCUUUUCAGGCUAGCACAGCACCCCGAUGAUUUACGGCGGUCUAGUUAGUCUGCGGCAGCGCAUGACUAUUUUACAUUGUGAGACUAUCUACAAAAGAGAGAAGAUAUAAUGACACAUCGACAUGGGAUUCUAAGUUCGAAGAUUGAACCAUUGACGGUUGAAUCAUGCUUUUUUUUUUGUCUAUCAAGUCGAUUCGAGCGGGCGUCUGUCUGGCACCACCACCCUACGUACGUAGCACCAAAACCACCGAGCAAUGCAACCUUCAUGGCCCCUAGCGUACCGCAGAGAUGAGGGCGUUGUUGCAAAAGCGCCUAACCUUCUUUUUGAGUCUGUGAGAAUUUUAUGGUUCCAAACGUGCUCCUUACUUUAUUCGUCCUAUCAGGAGCGGCGAUGACUAUGUCUCUACUUUCUUCUGCUGUGGACAGUCGAACGGGUAGCUACCGAAAGAUUCGGAGAAAAAAAAAAUAGAAAAAGAAAGAAAAAGAAAAAGAGCUUUGUCCGGGUUUCGACAUAGCGUGGGCACGUCAACACAAUAUCAGCUGGGCUGUUUCUUUAUUUCACCUGAUCUCUUUGUUGAGCCACAAUGUUUAACCCAACUGGUAGCUUUUGAAAGGGUUGCCUUUUCCAUUCCACUUGGUCAGGUCAACCUGCAGACGGAUCUGGUUUUCCCUCCCUGUAUAAGAGGAGUCAUGCUCAAAAUACUCAAAAAUAGAGCGAUUGAUCCAUGAGUCGCCGAUGCUGCCGCCGUUCUUGCCGUUGUUUGCAAGUCAACCGGUUGAUAUCGAAAUAUUGAACGUCGCCGAAGCAUAGACCAGACAGACGUCUUUGACGUGCUACAAUCUGGUUGGAUGAUGGCUUGCAGCUGCAGGGAAAAUUUCCAAAUCAUCCCAUAGGAUCAAAAUCCCGGUUUGAUCAUGCCUCCAAUCUCAGAAGCGUUCCAAGUGGCGGUGAAUAUGUUUUGACAAAUGAUAUUGAUACUGGCGGCUAGCAGCGAUAUGCCAGAGCAGGAAGUCUUAGUUGCUUGUCUGCGGCUCCAAAUGAGACAAGCUAGACGGUAGUCCAAGCAUCAGAUAAGAAAGACUCUGGAGUACUAACACAAGUCGCACGGAUGGACAGCCCCAAAAGACCGGUAAUGUACCCGCACUUCCUGCAGGGUUACGGCAUGGACGUGUAACCAGACAAGGCAGUUUUCUGGAUUCUCCAACGUCAAUGGGUGCCAAUGAAGCCAGGGUGAUCAAAAUAAUUGUUCAAUUCUUCAGAAACCGACCAAUCCAGUCUCGAAAAGGCCAAAGCGGCGACCUUUAAACGGCGACCUCUGCGAGUCAGUCAUACGAUUGAUAUUCCGGGAGGCAAACAAAGACCUUCGACAUACGUGCGUAACGCAAAAACUCGGAACUAUGUAUGGAUCCGCGAAAUGGCAUUGGACUCGCAGAGUCUAUUCGACGCCCUGACACGAGUUUCUUCCAAACUCAAAACUAAAGGAGGGGAGUGAAACGUUUGCCUAAUUUUGUACCACCAAACAGGAAAACUUUAAGAUUAUGGCAAUGUACACGCCACCUGUCUGUGUCACAGUCAACUCUCCGUGCCCGUACGAAAACAAUGAUAGGUGAAGAAAGACAACGAGGCAAAUAACGCCCAUCAUCCAUGUGUUUCUCAAUUUUAAGGAACAAAAGCAACCCACCCUUUCCACGGCGUCUACACUUCCCGGUGUCAAGUUGAACAAGACCAGGACAUGAACCCAAAGCUGGCAAAAUCUCCGUUUCGUCCAACCAAACCUCAAAUCCUCUUUAUACAUUUUGGGUCUGGUUCCGGGUUGUUUCAACGGAAACUUUCCUAGAGUAAAGGCUAAUGCUAGUACGUACCGGGUUCCUGAAAAGGGCUAGUUAAUAUAAGCCUUCCUCUCACUCUCUGUCUCUCUCUCUCUCUCUCACUCUCUCUCCCUCAGGACUGAUUACUAUCCAUGCACACCCGUCACCUAGACAGUGCAUACAUACAUGAUCUAAAUUUAUAGAUAGACGCCUUGAUAGUUCGUAACUGCGUAUAGAUGGAGAAAACAAAUCCCCGAAACAGGAAGAAUGCCCGGCCAAUGUGCUUUCAAAAUGAUCUUUCACUCAGGGCCAAUCGAGGGGGGUUGGUUGUCAGAUCUGGGAUUCUAGAAUAUGUUAGUCACAAGGCCAUAGGCCAAUUUCCGAUUUCUGAUUGAGAGUCUGGAUUUUUCUUUUCAGUUUAUACAGGAAUAUCCAUGUAUGUCCCGACAUAACUUUUUGGAGGAUCCGUGGAUAAGAAAAAGCCAAAAUCGAACCCGAAUGAAUUACCCAGUUAGGUAAUUACGGCGGAGAAACACGGUUGGGGGGUACAUACACACAGACAUACAGACAUACAUACAUACAACAUGUACAUGUAUAGGCAUGGGUAUGAGCAUGGGCAUGACGAGGCUGGGGUUUGUUAUGUCA
rnacentral:lncRNA from 1 species